rnacentral:rRNA from 1 species
GACGAACGCUGGCGGCGUGCUUAACACAUGCAAGUCGAGCGGGGAACUUCGGUUCCCAGCGGCGGACGGGUGAGUAACACGUGGGUAACCUGCCUCAUAGUGGGGAAUAGCCUUCCGAAAGGAAGAUUAAUACCGCAUAAUACUCGGAAAUCACAUGAUUUCUGAGCCAAAGGAUUUAUUCGCUAUGAGAUGGACCCGCGGCGCAUUAGCUUGUUGGUUAGGUAACGGCUCACCAAGGCUUCGAUGCGUAGCCGACCUGAGAGGGUGAUCGGCCACAUUGGAACUGAGACACGGUCCAGACUCCUACGGGAGGCAGCAGUGGGGAAUAUUGCACAAUGGGGGAAACCCUGAUACAGCAACGCCGCGUGAGUGAUGAAGGUCUUCGGAUCGUAAAACUCUGUCUUAUGGGACGAUAAUGACGGUACCAUAGGAGGAAGCCACGGCUAACUACGUGCCAGCCGCCGCGGUAA